GACGGAGGGUGCUAGCGUUGUUCGGAAUUACUGGGCGUAAAGGGCGCGUAGGCGGCCGCUUGCGUCGGAUGUGAAAGCCCGGGGCUCAACCCCGGAACGGCAUCCGAUACGGGGCGGCUGGAGACCGGGAGAGGAGGGUGGAAUAGCCAGUGUAGAGGUGAAAUUCGUAGAUAUUGGCUGGAACACCGGUGGCGAAAGCGGCUCUCUGGCCCGGUUCUGACGCUGAGGCGCGAAAGCGUGGGGAGCAAAC
rnacentral:rRNA from 1 species